rnacentral:misc_RNA from 1 species
UGGGUCGGUAGGUGUUGUUCAGAGAAGAUUUAACAUCAUUGAGUCCUAUCUCUUGUUCAAGGGUGCUUUUGAAUUCUCUUGACACUUCCUGAAGCUCUCUAAUUGUAGGCUGGAAAGUUCGUAGAGUCUUCCCCAAGUUCCGUGCAACCUCUGCUAGACCUUUAGGUCCAAAGACCAGUAAAGCCACCACUCCAAUAACUAGGACUUCUGGAGCUCCAACUCCAAACAAAGAAGCAUAAACAACUCUACCUCUA